AAGGUGGGGAUGACGUCAAGUCCUCAUGGCCUUUAUGACCAGGGCUACACACGUACUACAAUGGCCGGUACAAAGGGCAGCGACACAGCGAUGUGAAGCGAAAUCCCGAAAAGCCGGUCUCAGUCCGGAUUGGAGUCUGCCAACUCGACUCCAUGAAGUUGGAAUCGCUAGUAAUCGCGGAUCAGCACGCCGCGGUGAAUACGUUCCCGGGCCUU
rnacentral:rRNA from 1 species